GCGGUGGAGCAUGUGGUUUAAUUCGAAGCAACGCGAAGAACCUUACCAGGCCUUGACAUGCAGAGAACUUUCAGAGAUGGAUUGGUGCCUUCGGGAACUCUGACACAGGUGCUGCAUGGCUGUCGUCAGCUCGUGUCGUGAGAUGUUGGGUUAAGUCCCGUAACGAGCGCAACCCUUGUCCUUAGUUUACCAGCACGUUAUGUGGGCACUCUAAGGAGACUGCCGGUGACAAACCGGAGGAAGGUGGGGGUGACGUCAAGUCAUCAUGGCCCUUACGGCCUGGGCUACACACGUGCUACAAUGGUCGGUACAAAGGGUUGCCAAGCCGCGAGGUGGAGCUAAUCCCAUAAAACCGAUCGUAGUCCGGAUCGCAGUCUGCAACUCGACUGCGUGAAGUCGGAAUCGCUAGUAAUCGUGAAUCAGAAUGUCACGGUGAAUACGUUCCCGGGCCUU
rnacentral:rRNA from 1 species